UCUCUUUAGCAGCAAAAAUAUUAAAAUUGGAAUGACACACAUAAGUUUAGCAUACACCCUGUGCAAAGAUGAUGUGCAAAUUUGUGACCAUAUUUAUUUUA
rnacentral:snRNA from 1 species